rnacentral:lncRNA from 1 species
AAUGGUAUUUGAUGGUUUAAUAGCCAAUUACUGUUAAAUGAUGAUUUUAUUUGGACCCAGUGGAAAGAUUCAAGAAAAUAAAAAAAGAAUUUAAAAUCGACCAGAUCAAAGAAACUAAGCUUGUAAUGCAAUGGGAAUAUUGGGGAGGAAUUUGGAAUGAUUAUUUUUAUAAAAAACAGCAAUUAAUUGAUCAUGAUUUUCCAGGCCUUUCCUUGCUUCAUUUUAUUACAGUGAUGAUCUCAGGAAUUUGUAAUCAACUAUGCCACUUACUUAAUCUAGGUAAUAUGAAGAGUAGGGAAGACUUGAAGAUAUCCAUUUCUGGACUUCCUUAUUUAUCUGAGAAUGAUGGGAUGAUUGCUGAGAAGAAGGUUAAAAAAAGAGAGAUUCUUAUUGCUAGUGAGUUUGAUACAUAAAAGAUACGUCAACUUAUUUGUCUCCUCCUCCUUUUCUUUGCCUACUGUAAAAAUUAAUUGACUAUACAGAAC